rnacentral:rRNA from 1 species
AUGGAAGGAGGAGGCGCGGAGGGCGUGACGAGGGUGCUGGUGGUGGACGACUCCCCGGUCGACAGGAAGGUGGUGGAGCUGGUGCUCGGCAGCAACACCUUCGCCGGCUCCUUCCACGUCAUCGCCGUGGACAGCGCCAAGAAGGCCAUGGAGUUCCUGGGGCUCAAGGACGGCAAGGAGCAGGCCGUCGACAUGGUGCUCACUGACUACUGCAUGCCUGAGAUGACUGGCUACGACCUCCUCAAGGCCAUCAAGGCCAUGAGUCCUCUCAAGCCCAUCCCGGUGAUCGUCAUGUCGUCGGAGAACGAACCCCAGAGGAUCAGCAGAUGCCUCAAGGCUGGUGCUGAAGAUUACAUCGUGAAGCCUCUUCAGAGCAAGGAUGUGCCGCGCCUGAGGAGCUGCUCGAACGCGAAGCCGAAGGACCCUCCAUGCAGCACUGUGAGCAAGAGUGCGGACCACAUAGCUGCUGUCGACGGCAAGUCGUCGCUCCGACGGCGAGCACACCUCACCGAUAUUGCCAUGGUUCUCCACUCGUCGAGCGCCGGGCUCUCGCACUACUUCCCGUUCCUCUUCAAGUUCAUCCUGCUGGUCUACGCCAUCCUGUGCGUCGGCGAGCUCCUGCACAGAUGGUCCAACGGCUGCUUCCUCUCCUACCUGAGGUGA